rnacentral:lncRNA from 1 species
CGGGGACUCGGUGCGGAGCCGGGGCGCCGAGUGUCUCCGUGUCCCUCUGCCCCAGCCGGCGGCCGCGAUGGUGGAGCUUGGCCUCUCGCUCUCUCCCGCCUCUCCAGCGACUGCUCUGCCGGCCGCGGAGGUCGGAUCGAGCGGUCAUUCAUUCAUUUGUUAAUUCGUUCACUUAUUCAGGGGAGAUCAUUGAACCCCUACGGAGUACCGGGUACUGGGCCGGGCGCUGAGGACGCGGGGCUGAGCAAAAGCAGCCGAGGCCCACCUUCGUGCCCCUUAAAACCCAGCGUGCGGGGCGGCAACGAGUACUGCUUUUCUGUUUUGCACUUAAAAUUUACAUUUUGCAUCCGUACUUUUUAUUUACUGUGCACCCUUACGGCAUGCUUUACGCACCCGUACCUGCACCUCCUAGCCUUGAGUGUAGACACCAGAUCCUGAGAUGGGCGAUUUUUCGAGAAUAAUUUUUACCCUAAGUGGAUUUUCGUGCCACGCAUGGACUUGGAACUACACACACGUAGUCCAAAACGUGAAAGUCAAAAUGCAGCUUUGCCAAGUGGCAGGGAGAAAGGAGAGCUGAGAAGAUGAGGAGAGGAAGGGCGCGCUCCAGGCUUUCCAGCCCGGGUGCGGUAGACGUAGCCCUGAAGGAUGAACCCAGGCUGGUAGUAGGGCGGCGGGAGGGCGGGGGGACCUGUCAGUCAAGUCCAAAGCAGAAACGCGGCGCCGGAUCCCAGUCAGAGGCCGGCUGGAACGCUUCCCACAGGCUCCUGGCGCUCCGGUCCCCACCAGGCGACCUUGAUCCUGGCGUGCUCAGCGGAGCCAGCGCAGCGUCGGGAGCUGGAGAGACGCGGGGCGCCGGCUGAGCGCUCCUGCCCUCUGCCUCUGGGCUAGCCUCUGGCCCGGCCUCCCGGCCUCCCCCAGGGUACGCUCUCCCCCAAGAGCGAACACCAGCUUUGGGAUCGCCAGCAGCCACGUCUCUGCUUCUAGAUCUCUUUUUUUUUUCUUUGAGACUUAGUUGAUAGCUGUUUAAGGAAUUAUGUGGAGGAAAUCUCACCUCCGACCCCCGCCCCCGUUGAGCACGGCCGGCCAGGGUCGCUGGGUGGGCCAGGAGGAAAGAAAGGGGCGGGGAAGAAGCAGCAAUUUUACUUUAAAUUAAAAUGACACAAAAAUAUUUUUUCAACUCAGAUCUUUCUGAGACAUCCCCAGAAAGCGUUGCAAGCUGUGAUUACACCUAAUGUGAGAGCAUGAACUAAUUUAAGAGGUGAGAGCUGCAUAAUGAGGCUGCCUCCCGUGUAGCAGCCAAGACUGGCAGCUCUGGCGGCGCGCUGGAGGGGACCGGGAGGGGCACCCUUGUAGAACCAGUCCCUGGCGCCCUGGGAUCUUCUCAGUGCCCUGGCGCUGUGUUGUCGGUCACUCCACAGAUAUUACAGGGUGCCUCCUGAAUGCCGGGUUGCAAUCAAGAGCAAGAGAUGGGGCGAGUGAAAGAGCCUGUUUUCAGGAGCUCAGCAUCAGGAUGACGAUUACCUAGAGGGAGGUGGUGGCCAGCCUCCCCCUCUUCUCUUCAUGCUGAGGCUCUGGUGGGCAGUGCCCAAGCCUGAACUGCCAUCUGUAUGCCAGUGGUUACCCAACUUGUAUUUUCAGUCUUAGCCUCUCUCUGGUCCAGACUUGUCAUUCUAAGGGCCCUUUUUCACUGACUCACAUUGUCUCCUCCCUCCCUGCCUUCCAAACUCAGCCUUUUCCUUUUUCCCUUUCCCACUGACAACAGCUGCACGACCCCCCCGCCCCCCCACGAGGUGAAAAUUCCCAAGAACCCCAUGUCUAACCUAACUCCCUCUCUAUGUCCUGUUGCUUGAGCCAUUCUCAUUAGGCUGCCUGUUCGGAGUUCAUUAUCUCCUAAUUUUUCAUCCAGGAAUUGAUGAAGAAUCACCUACUGCCUCUCCCACACACUGUUUAUUCUUUCAUUUGAUGAUAUCUGUUAAGUGCCCUGAGAUAUGUAACCUCCACUUCCCUCCCAUAUAAGUGAGAUUUCACGUUGAUUACUUCCUUGGCUUUCCUCAUCCCUUAUCCACAUAGCAUGUGUUCAAAAUAAUGAAUAUUAAUUUAAUGUUAAUAGAUAUGUGCUUUCCUGAAUUGUGAGGAUUAAAUGAAAUCAUGUAUAUAGGGAGGAAAAUCCAUUAGAAACCUCAAAAGCAGUUAUGUUUAUUUUUGCUAUUGUCACAUUGUUAGAGUCAGAAUUCUUUUAGCUGCAAGUGACAAAACCAACUCAAACUGGCUUAAGGACUUUAUUGGUUGAUGCAAAAAGCCUCGGGUUAGGUCUUGCCAUUUAAGGUAGGGCUGGAUCCAUCAAUCCGGGUUACCAGGAUCUGUUUUCUAGUUGUGGCUUCAUUUUCAGACAAGUUGUUUCCAUAUGAUAGCCUCAUAGAAGGUACUACCAGCUUAGUCCUAGCAAGAAAAAAGAGUACUUACUCUUCAAUAUUUGCAGCAGAAGUCCCAGGUCUGUUCUUAUGAGGGCAGUUUGAGUCACUUGCUCUUCUCUGAACGUGGAGAAGGCACUGUUUAGAUGAUGGAGGUUGGAUUCAGGUGCAUCCCCUGGAAUGGGGUUUGGCAUUAGCUUCACGUGGUCUAGAAUAAAGGGGUUCUCCAAAGGAAAAUUAGGGUAGGAAUGCUGAGUAAGCAGAACAAACAGAUGUCUACUUUAGUCCUUCCCAAAGGGUGAGCUGCAAUACAUUGCAGACUAUCAGAAUGGUGAUGAACACGGAUGCAGUAGCCAAGAAAAUAGAUGUGUGUUUGUCGUGGUCUUUUUCAGUCUUCAAGAUCUCAGUUAAACAUGAAGUCAACCACUCACUAUGAUGUUAUUUGAGGUUUAGCUUUGAAGUGGAAAUGUACCACAAAUAGUAGAGCCAGAUAAAUACAAAUAAAUAAUUUUAACAGUCCAUUCUAAAAGAUUUCUUUGGUAAUAUUCUGUUGGAAUUGAUUUCUAUCUUUUCAUUUGUUAGGUUCCUGGAAAGUGAAAAUUUCAUUUCUUUGUGGACAGGUACCUAAAAUGUCUCAUUAUUCAUCAAUUAAUGAAAAACAAAUGAAAAUUUGAGAGAGAUAUUCUGAAGAAUAAAAGGAUCAAGUUGGGUCAUUUCUAAAAUGUAAGAUUAUAAGGUUUAACUUGCUAAGACUUUUGAGGGGUUGAAUUAUUGGUAAAUUAUUAUAGAACCACUUAUCUGAGGCUUUUAAAAGUGAUGUGUUACAGAGAUUUAGGGAACUGCAAGAUUGCAGAUAAAGAAUUUAUACUGUCAACUGUUCUAUACUUUACCUUCUGCUUUAAAUGCGGCCUUAUAUUUUGAAGUCAAACAUUUAUUUUCUCUCACUGCGUUCUGAAUUUCCUACCACAGUGCAUUUUGAGAAAUGAAUAUAACAGCAGUCUUCAUAGAUGCCAUAUUCAUGGCAACUCUGUCCCCCGCCAACACCACACCCUGGAAAAAAACCAACUUUCUAUUGUUGGAAUGAGGUAACAUUUUCAGGAAAAGGGAACCAUUUUCUCACAGGAUAUAGAACAAAUUCAACCUUUUAUUAAAUCAAAAUGGAUUCUCUAAUGUUUAUACAUAUCAUAUAGGAUUUCAUCUCUUUCAAUCUUGGUUCAAAGGCCCAGACAGUACCAUUCCCUAGUAUUUAGUCCAUUUGCUCAUAAAGCAGAAGAGAAAAGCUACUUUGUUCCGAAGGGUGUUAGAUUUAGGAUUCCAAGGUUAUUUCAAAUUAAUGCCUGGAACUAGACUAUAAAAUGCAGGAAAGAUUCUAAGUUGUUCAAAGAUGAAAUAUCUUAACUUUCACCAAAAACUCUGUCUUCUGGGUAUUUUUUGUUUUUCUGCCUUUCCAGAUUUAUUUUAAAUACAACAUUUUUGCUGUUUACAUUUUUAAAAGUUACAUUUCAAAAUUGUUCAUAAUUGGACACUUUCAUAAAAUGUAGGCAAAUGCAGUUUUACUUUUUAAUGAAGGACAAGUCUGUUGAUAACAUUUUGAUUCUUAAAAUUUUUUUUAUCUUAUAAAAAUGAAACAAUGCAUUUAAAGUGUCUUCAGCUCUUAUGUUAAUACCAAAUUAUACAUUUUCUUAGCCCAUGUUCAGGAGAGACAAUAUAUCUUCCAAAUUAAGAGAAGCUGGCACCAUUUUUAAAACAAGGCCUUGAAUCUGCUGUGGUAUGUGCUGGUAGGAAUUUUGUAUGAAGCUGUUAUUGAAGUAGAUGACAUUAAGGUCAAAGGAAAAAAAAAACAGAAAAUAAUGUAAUCCUACAGAGCUGCUCUUAAGAUCUUGAGAGAAAAACCACGUAGGUAACAUCAAACACUAGUUGGAAUCUUUCCAAGAAGUAAUUAUCUGUGUGCUGUUUGUGGUGGUUGAUUAUGGGAACAAACCAAGGUUUAGCCAAUUCAGCAAACAUUUAUGGAGUGCCUGCAAUGUGCAUGUCACUGUUUUAAGGCCUGUGCCUACUGUAAAGGUGACCCACACAUGAUGCCUGCCUUGCAGGACUUGGAGUUCAGCGAUAAUAAGAGAUGCAUACCUGAAAAGCCUAUUUAAGACUCUUCCGGUUCUACAAAGAAGGCUUCUUGAAAGUGGUAGCUUUGAUUACUCUUUGGAUUUAUUUACAUUUAUCCUAUAAUCAGAAGGUAUACAAAACAGACUCACACAUAUAUAAAAUUAAUAGAUUAGAUAGCAUUUAAACAAAUAUUUCAGGUAGGUACUUCAAAUGCAUUUGACAUUUAUCAAAGAAAUGGUAAGUGCUGUCAUCCGUGGGUGGCUGGAUUAACAUGUGGGACUACUUAUCACCAAUUUUGUUAGGGAUCUUAGGGAAAUUCCUGGAUCUUAUAUUCACAAGCAAUUGUAUAAAUACUUCCCACAGCUCAGAGACCUAAUAGGAUGGGGUCUUAGAGAAACAUCUUUUGAGCCACAGACUUCUUUGUUACCAGAAGGAAAAUGAAAGAAGAAAUUUAAAUACCACUUGAAGAGAGAGAGUGUGAAGAAAUGACCCUGAAAAGCCUCUGGCAGAGGAUUCUUCUUUCAGGAUGGUGUCGCCUCCUCAGCAGCCCAUCCUCCUCCCCUGGACUCAAGCUCUCAUUCCAGUAACACUCCUUCCUCCUUCUCCAUCUUCAGGGGGAGGUUUGCCAGUCGGUGGGUUCUAAGCAUAUCUCGCUGAUUCCCCCCAACCCUGCCGACACCUCUGUAGGUCGUCCCUUCAUUAAAAUCUCUCCAUUUGAACUAUCUGAGUUUAAUUCCAUUUCCUCCUGGUAUCUCAGUGAUACACGGUAUCAGUACAAAAAUCUCGCUUCACCUUCAGAACCAACAGAUUUGAGACAUUUUAUCCUCUGUGGAACCAUUAGUUAUUUUGUCAUUGGUUGUAUCAGAAAAAAAAAUCAGGAAUGCAAAUCCUUCUUUAUUACAGAUUCAGAUUUGCAUAUUACCAAUGUUAUAUAUUUUAAACAAAACUAUUCAUCAUAAGUUUUAAAAAUUAACUACUGGAGUAGUUAAUGAAUCUGAAUGUAAUUAUGUAGCUUUCAUAAUAUUAAAGUAAAAAUACUAAAAGAAGUAUUUCUUAAAGAAGCAAAUGCUCAAUCUCCAAGUAAAUUUUAUUCUAUGCUCUUCCGGUAUAAGAAUAUGUUAAUAUCUUGAAAAAUAUCAUAUUAUUUUGUGAACUCAUAAAGCUAUUUUGAGUUUUUGUAAAAUGAAAACCUUACCAAAAUGUAUUUUAUUGUUGGAAAGCUUGACCGUUACUGCUGUUUAAUUUUUUGAGCUUGUAAACUUUAUUUGUGCAUGUUUUCAACAAAGAAGGAUUUUAUUGUUAUUACAUAAAACAGGUGAUUUCUAGAUUUUAAAAUCACAAAUUGAAAGCAAGGCACAAUAAUAUAUAUUUCAAGAUAUAGGUACUUAGGAGGCAUCCUUUUAGUCAUCUGUUCAAUGUAGCCAUCUAUUUUACACCUACUGUCUACUAUUGUUUGAGGUCCUUGCCAAAGUAUUGCAGGCUAGUUAGGAAACAUAAAACAAUUAGAAAGUAAUCUAUGACAAGUAAGCUAUCUAUAAAUGGCAAUGAAGGGUAGAACAAAUUCAAUGAAAAUAUCUAUUUAAUCCUAGUGUUUACUGGUCUAGAAGAAUAGGCUGAGUAAAUUAGUAUUUCUCUGGCUGUUGUGGUAACACAUUGCAUGCUAUAACAGUUUUAAGUAAUUACAGGUGCAUUGAAAUUUAUCUAUGGCUUUGUCAUCAUAUUCUAAAAUGUCAUGAGUACUUUUUUCUGACCUCAAUUACUAUGAAAUUGGUUUCCAAUAUUUAAUUAACCAAGAAUAUCAAGUCUAUAGGGUAUUAUUAAGGUGAGACUUCUGUAGCCUUUUCAAUAAAGACCAGAAUUUUGGAGUGCCUUGAACCUUAAUCAUUGAUCUUUAAUUCUUAUUAAGUCAACUGCCCACCUUUUAAAGACUGAGGCCCAGGAAGAGUAAGUUUCUCUGAGACAAUGCAUACAGUACAGUGCUUCUUGGGUAUUGGCUCUAAGACCAGAUGCAAAGAAAGGCUAAAAUCCCAUUUCAUUGUUCAUUAGGUGAGAACCCUUUGUUAAGCUGUGUAACCUCUGUGCAUAGUUUCCUCAUCAGCAAAGUCAGAAAAAGUAUGUACCUGAAGGACUGAUUGUAAGGCUGGGAUGAGAGAAUCCAUGUGAUCAGCCCUCACCAACAGGUGCUGCCCAGUUCAUGAGUGCUGCUGCUGUCCUGCCCAAGUACCCAGCUUGCAGAGUGCCAGAGUUAGAGUCCCAGGGGUGUUCUCCACAGCUGCAUGCUUGAUCCAGGCCUAUCAGAUAUAUUCCAUUGAAAGUCCUCAUUCUCAAAUUUAAAACAAAGACUUUUUGUGUACCUCAAUAGCAAUGCACACACAGUUGGCUUCACAAACAUAUUGUACAUUUCUUUUUUUCAUAUUUAUUCAACAAAUGUAUAUUGACUACCCACCGUGUGACAGGUGUUAUUUGUUGACGGAACCAGGCAUCAUCAGCAAACAAAACUGACAAAGCUUCCUGCCCUCUGUGGAAGGCAUCUGAGGAAGAGACUGGAUUUUGUAGCAACAUGUUAUUCUCAUUAUAAACUUUAUCAUUGGAAUACUAAAGCCAAAUCAUCCCCCAUCUCCUUGAUCAGGAUACCCACUUAAUCUAGGCAGCUACACAAUUGUGAGAGCCUUUGUUUUUUUCUGCUGAAACAUCCUUAAAAAGAUACCUCACAACCCAAGAUUUGGCUUUUCUUAAAUACGAUUUUUAAUUUUUUUCAUUUCUAUCUAGAGAUUUAAUUGGAAAUGGAAAAUCAUCAAUUUUCCAAUUAAAUGUCUGUUCCAAUCAACAUUAUACCUUUUAGGUUGUCAUUGUCAUUUUUAAGUUUAAGCAACUUUAAGGAUUUUGAAUCUGGCUGCCUGUAAAUUAAAGGUGAAAGUAAUCA